AUCGGCCAGAACCUUCUAUGGAUUCUAUCCUUCAUUCCACCGGAGUCUGUGUCUUUAUUCAACCAGAUUUCUGUGAAAUGAAGUGUAAGAGACAUGGAGCUUU
rnacentral:pre_miRNA from 8 species